rnacentral:ribozyme from 1 species
GGGGACCAUAGAAGGAGCGUUCUCGUCGCGGUCCCUGUCAGGCUCGUCCUGCGAAUCCUUCUA